UUAGUUUUGCCCCACAGACCGUUUCUUCUUUGUUUCUCGUCUGAUAGUUCAACAAUGAUUGGGUUUGAAAUUCUGCAUGUGUCCCUCUGUCUCAUGGGUUUGCUCUCAGAGACUCUGUGCUCUUUAACUGUGGAGGUGGAAGCUGGAGAUAACGCCACUGUUUGGUGCCAACAUGAGCUGAGUGAUACAGGUUACAUCUACUGGUAUAAACAUAUAAAUGAUUCAGUUCGACAUCUUCUUGGCUCAAGAACACGUCUCUCACCAUCACCGCAGUAAAUGUCUCUGAUACAGGACUGUAUUACUGCAGCUUCAUAUAUCUGGACCAAGUGAACUUUAGGAACUCGACCUUUUUACAAGUGAAAGACAGAAAUAAAACACUUCCUGAGAACCCGGACAGAGCGAAAGGUUCAGUCUCUUCUCCUGUGUUCUUCAUACUGAAUGUGGUGUUCGGUGCAGUGAUUGUGAUUCUUCUCAGUGUCCUGAUCUUCAUCAUACUGAAGCACAGAGAAACACACAGAGGUGCUGGAGCAGAAGAUAACGAGGUAAAUGUGACACUACAAUCAUUAAAACUAAUCAAUACACUGAUCUGAUUUAUUAACCUUGAUUUAAACUGAAACAGAAAUCAACACGUUUGGUUUUUUUUGAGCUGGUGGAAAUUUUUUAUCCUCUCAAUAAAAAUAUUUUAUUUACGUUAUUUUAUUAUUUUCUUAAAAUAUAUAGUGUAUAACACGUAUAGAGUAUACACAUAUACUGUAAAUUAAACUAAAAAAAGACAAAGGGUUUUAUUGAAGAUUAAAUAAUGAUGAUUUAAAACUGUAUCUCUUUGAUAACUUCUGAGCAGAUUGAGUUUGAGCUCUCAGGUUGUAAUGUGUGGUUUCUGUAGCCGAGGCAGUCUGCUCCUCUUGUUCUUGUUGUUUCUGCUUGAACUCGACGCUGCUGUCUUCAACUCAGACCUGGAAACUGAGAGGCUCAAAAUAUUUCACUGCUCUCUUGUUGCAGGACACGUCACAUUUCAUUUUUACCAUUUGAGGAUAUUUUAGAAACAUUUUUGUUUUAAAUCAAAAUGUUUGAGUGCAGCUGAAAACAAAAAGUAAAAUUCAGCAGAAAAUAUAUAGUUAAAUAGAACUUAGUGAUAUUUUGUCAAUAAUAGAAUCAGUUCAUGCUUCAUGAAAAUGUGCUCAUUC